ACUCGCCCUCGUGCUCCCUUCAGCCCCUUCGCAGCUCCGUGCGCAAGGUCGUGUCCCGGAAGUGAAGGGGCCAUGUUGAUGGGUGACCCGGGGAGAGGUACCCGGCCAGAGGCGAGUCCUGCGGAGUGGUAGCGCGCACGGCCUGCGGUGUGACACCCAGCCCCUGCCAGUCCCCCAUGGCCCCGUGGAGCCGAGAGGCGGUGCUGAGUCUCUAUCGGGCUCUGUUGCGCCAGGGCCGACAGCUUCGCUACACUGAUCGAGACUUCUACUUUGCCUCCAUCCGCCGUGAAUUCCGAAAAAAUCAGAAGCUAGAGGACGCUGAGGCCCGGGAGAGGCAGCUGGAGAAGGGCCUGGUCUUUCUCAACGGCAAAUUGGGGAGGAUCAUUUAGGAUCCUCCAAGGGAAAGAGGACAAAGGUGCCUUCUGUAGACACUCCUGCUCUCUUCCAUCCCCAUCUUACAGAUGUAUUAAGAAGCCUCAGGCCCAGGGUUCUAACUCCACAGGAAUGGGCUUAUCUGGGGACUGCUGCUGCUGCAGUCAGGAAGACUCCACUGUAGUCGGGAGCAGCACUGGCCUGAGCACUGCACUGGAGGCCAGCCUCUUCGCUGUGGUGCCCAAGUACUUCUUUCAGAUGAGCAAUGGCAGGCGCUGGUGAGCGCAAAGGCAAGAAGGAUGACAAUGGCAUUGGCACGGCCAUUGACUUUGUGCUCUCCAAUGCCCGGCUGGUGCUGGGGGUGGGUGGAGCGGCCAUGCUGGGCAUCGCCACGCUGGCAGUUAAGCGGAUGUACGAUCGGGCGAUCAGUGCCCCUACCAGCCCCACCCGCCUGAGCCAUUCGGGGAAAAGGAGCUGGGAAGAACCCAACUGGAUGGGCUCCCCACGACUGCUGAACAGGGACAUGAAGACGGGCCUGAGCCGGUCCUUGCAGACCCUUCCCACAGACUCCUCCACCUUCGACACAGGAGAAACUUCUUACUUACUACCGGAACCGGGCAGCCAUCCCUGCUGGAGAGCAGGCUCGGGCCAAGCAAGCUGCUGUGGACAUAUGUGCCGAGCUCCGGAGCUUCCUGCGGGCCAAGUUGCCUGACAUGCCGCUUCGGGACAUGUACUUGAGUGGCAGCCUCUACGAUGACCUGCAGGUGGUGACAGCUGACCACAUCCAACUCAUUGUGCCCCUUGUGCUGGAGCAGAACCUGUGGUCAUGUAUUCCUGGUGAAGACACCAUCAUGAAUGUCCCUGGCUUCUUCCUGGUGCGUCGUGAGAAUCCAGAGUACUUUCCUCGUGGGAGCAGUUACUGGGACCGCUGUGUAGUAGGGGGCUACCUCUCUCCAAAGACAGUCGCAGAUACAUUUGAGAAGGUAGUGGCUGGCUCCAUCAAUUGGCCAGCCAUAGGGUCCCUCUUGGACUAUGUGAUCCGCCCGGCCCCACCCCCAGAAGCCCUCACACUGGAGGUGCAGUAUGAGCGUGACAAACAUCUCUUCAUUGACUUCCUGCCAUCAGUGACCCUCGGUGACACAGUCUUGGUGGCCAAACCACACCGGCUAGCCCAGUAUGACAACCUGUGGCGGCUGAGCCUGCGUCCCGCGGAGACGGCACGCCUGCGGGCUCUGGACCAGGCUGACUCGGGCUGCCGAUCUCUGUGCCUCAAGAUCCUCAAGGCCAUAUGCAAGUCCACCCCGGCUCUGGGCCACCUCACUGCCAGCCAGCUAACCAAUGUCAUCCUCCACUUGGCCCAGGAGGAGGCUGACUGGUCUCCGGAUAUGCUGGCCGACCGUUUCCUGCAGGCCUUGAGGGGACUUAUCAGCUACUUAGAGGCUGGAGUCCUGCCCAGUGCCCUAAACCCCAAGGUGAACUUAUUUGCAGAGCUCACCCCUGAAGAAAUAGACGAAUUAGGAUACACUCUGUAUUGCUCAUUGUCUGAGCCAGAGGUGCUGCUGCAGACGUAGGGCAGGUGAAGGCCAAAGCGGGUGUUGGUGGUCAGGCCCUGGAUUCUCCGUUAGAUACACUUGGCUACCUAGUUGGUGCCUCACAGGGUUCCUGCUGCCUGGUGUCUUGCUGAUCAUCACCCUGGUCACUUCAUGCUGAUUAGAAUGACAUCUCUUUCGUCUCCUAUUUUGUUACCCAACUCUUCCUAUUUUUGUUACCAAUCACUGUGCUCUCUGCCGCCCCCUGGCUCCAGGCUAAUUUUUCUGGAAUGAAUUGAGAAGGUGGCGUGCUGGCCUGAGCUGAUGGACCACUUGGUGUUUUGCGUUUUGGCCCAUGUUUGCUGCCUCUAUCUGGUCUGCCUUGCCCGUUUGCCUGUUCCUAUUCAGUGUCUUUUCUAUUUUUUCCUCUCUCGUUCAUGCCUUCUGUUUUGCUCUUGUCCCUGGAGCAUAUCUGCCUAAUUAAGAUGUUGCCUUUUAGUUGAAUGCCACUGAAGAGCUGUGAUAGCAUGUUUCAAAGCUGAACUCUACAGAGCGAGUGCUGAGACAGUAUUUAGGGUUUCUGGGAGUGAGGCUGGUAGAAGAGUUGGCCUUUGACCACGGUUCCUGGAGUAGAAGUCCAUCCUCCCCCCAACCUCCUGACCCAUUCAUAAAUGCUGAGAAUGUCUCUCAUGGGAACACUGUUAAUGACCCACACAGGAUAAGCUGAAUGCAAAGUUAUUUGCAGGUUGAAUUUCUUGGUGGCUAUUAGCAGAAGUGCAGAGUAGGGAACCAGAGCUGGUUAAGGGCCUAGUGAAGGGUUUGUGUGCCCAGUGUCUGCUCGUCAUCUGUGGCUGCAGGGGUCAGACAGACAAGGAUGGGGACUGCCAGGGCACCACUUCAUCAUGAAUGCUGGUUUUCACACCUUUUCCUUAUUUUAUUGCCAAUCAGGACAAGGCCUUGAAGGAACGCAGCCUUAGACAUCAGGUGAGGAUGAUGGAGGUAGACAGUCGACUGAAUGUCAGCUGGAAAAUCCAGUCACUAGUUGGGGUUUGGUGGCCAUGUUUUCUACCCAGACAGGCCCUGCUUUUCUAGGAUGUGGCCUUAGAGCAAGAACAGACCCAACAGCCAGCCCUUCAUCCUCCAGCGUCUGCCAUAGGAAUGUGAGAGGGGUGUUUGCUGAGCGCUCCGGGCACGGCCAGAGGGCAAGUGAGCAUGCACGGACCUCUUCCCCCUGUCCUGUUUCUCACCCAGCACCUGGGGAGAUCGGUGCUACCAAGGAAGAGAGCACACAGAUAAGACAGAGGGGAGGAGGUGGGCAUUUCCUACAUUCCUCCUUGUUUGCCGCUGCUGAGAUUGCAGUAUUUAUUGCAAUGUAAAUGUAUCCUGAAGGUGGGGAGGAAUGUUUAAUCUACCAUGUCCGUGUGUCAUCUUGGUUUGUGUUUUUCCCUGUUUGUAGCAAGACUCUGAUGAUAAUUCUGUUUCUCAUCUGCCCAUUCAGUAUUUUGUUUUCCUUCCGUCAAGUUGUCUUAUUUUUUCAAUGACUACCUCUCCAUCAUUGAGGUUCUGGUGAAGCUCUCUGCAGCUGUCUCAUUCCUUCCCAACGAUAGUAACAGGAAAUGACUCUUUAGCAUCGAUACCUCAACAUCAAUUUAGGGUAGAGAUUCCUGCCCCUCUUUUGUCACAGAUUAGGAAAUUGAGAACUAGGGUUAACCUUGACUAUAUUUAGAGGUCUUUUUGCCUCUUUUCCCCUUAACAAGGAUUUCUUAUGGUGGUUUCAGUUUCAUUUGCAUAAAGGUAUUGAGAGGGAACAAAAAACAUAAAGCUGAGAAUCUUGAGAGAGCUCAUCUACCCUGUCUGUUGGUCAGACUCAAAUGAGAGUUAAAAAAAAAAAAAAAAAUCUGUAUGCCUGAGUACCAUCCUGGAUGAAUCUAGAAGGUAUGGGGUAGAGCUUGACAGGGUUCCUGUGUACCCACUGGGUAUCCGUUAGAGGUAAGGGAGAGGAGAGGAUUGAUAGAGUGUUGCAAAAGUAUAGAUUAUUCAUUGAGAUAAAGGAUUUGGUUUCCCUGCCAUGAGUAUUAAAAAAAUUUAAGUUUUCCCAAGCUUGCAUCUCUGACCAAAUUUCACAUAAAACAUUGGAAGGAGGCUGGGUGCGGUGGCUCAUGCUUGUAAUCCCAGCACUGGGAAGCUAAGGCGGGUGGAUCACUUGAGGUCAGGAGUUCGAGACCAGCCUGGCCAACAUGGUGAAACCCCGUCUCCACGAAAAAGAUAAAAAUAAGCUGGGCGUGGUGGCAGGCGCCUAUAAUCCCAGCUACUCGGGAGGCUGAGGCAGGAGAAUAACUUAAACCCGGGAGGCGGAGGUUACAGUGAGCUGAGAUCGUGCCACUGCACUCCAGCCUGGGUGACAGAGUGAGACCCUAUUUCAAAAAAAUAAAAAUUGGAAGAAGAGCUUAAAAAAGAUAAGAUUUUAAAGAGUCCCAAGUUAUUUAAGUUGAGUGUAAUUGUCAUUUAAGGAAGGCAAAUGAGUUUAUCAUCCUUCUUAAAGAGCAUCUCUUUUAACUGUUGGACAAAACCAUAACUUUGUCAUUUUACAAGGAAGAACCUCUUAAGAAGUCCUCAGAACCAGAAGCAAUGUGAACUCUCAGCGCUGGUCCUGGUGGGUUUGCUGACCAUGACUGGGCAAGCCGUUCUUUUUGCUGCCAUCUUCCUCAUCAUAAAGUGUGGAACAUAGGCAAUUGCUUUGAGAUUCUUGGAUAGAAGAGGACAACAUUCUGCACCUGCCCCCUUUUUUAAAUCUUUGGGGAAAGAUGAGUAACUUUCCCCACUACUCUGCCUUCCUGUUCAGUAACUCUUACUUUUGCCUGAAGUAACAGCAUCUUCUACUUCUCCAUCUAGAGAUUUUUGUGUGUGUGCCAUCAAGGUUAGCAAACUUUAUACGUAGCCUAACACUUAAAAAAUGCACUCAUUAUCUUAAACCUAAUAAAUUCCAGAGUUUAUUUUGGUUCUCCUCUGUUGCCCUUCCUAAAAAAUGAGCUGAAGAUGACAGUAUUUUUCUUUACAUGCUUGGUUAUGACUUUUAAAGUUUUAUUUAAAUAAAUGUUGAAGCUCAAGUUUAAAGAAGCGUUGCAGAGGCCCACGGUCUCCUGGGUCCCGGCCACCUGUCCAUAUUCCACAUUUGCUGACUGUGCUCCCUGCACUCCACUCAAGUUGAGAGUUCAAAUAGUCUUGAAGGGGAAUCAGCUUCAGGAUGGAAGGACCCAGGAGAGGCCCCGAGGUGGGAGGGUUCUGUAAAUACAGACUACUGCGAGUGUCCAGAGCUCUCUGCCAUGAUACUUCCUUGGGACUGACUUGGCUGAGAACGUGUUCUGUCAGAGGAUUUGUUAGAACUCUGCCCUUUUGUCUGAAACUCAAGGCCAAGGAGAAUGAUAGGAGACUUAGGACAGAGCUGACCCUUGCACCAGGCUGGGAGGCUGCAGCCCUUUUAGAUGCCACUUACUGUAAGUGGCCAGAAUACCAGAGAGGUGGGUUCCAUGGUCAAAUGCACAGUAGGUGUUUACCUUUACAUUUGGAUCACCUUGUAGUCUUUAAAUUCUUGGUCCCUGAGGCCAAGUCCACAACUUGCCUUCUAGUCACUUGCCUGCCCGCAGUGGUGGUGGAUGUGUUAGCUGGUAGAUUUGGAAUCAGUCACCAGUCUUUCUGUACUGUCUUGGUUAGCUCUAUAUAAGUAGGGGCAGCUUAGCCCUGAGGCCCAGAGACCUGCUGUCCUUUUUCUCCUUGAGGGAGGAAAUAAAACUGCGGAAUACAAUGUCCUUCCAUAGCAUGGGAAGAAGAAAAUAAACAUCUCCUUUCCAACA